ensembl:lncRNA
UAGAGAGAGAGAGCGAUAGAGAGAGAGAGCGAUAGAGAGAGAGAGGGAGAGCAAUAGAUAGAGAGAGCGAUAGAGAGAGAGCGAUAGAGAGAGAGAGCAAUAGAGAGAGAGGGAGAGCAAUAGAUAGAGAGAGCGAUAGAGAGAGAGAGCGAUAGAGAGAGAGAGCGAUAGAGAGAGAGCGAUAGAGAGAGAGCGAUAGAGAGAGAGCAAUAGAGAGAGAGAACAAUAGAGAGAGAGAGCUAGAGAGAGAGCGAUAGAGAGAGAGCGAUAGAGAGAGCUAGAGAUAAAGUGAGAGAGAGAGACCUAGAGAGACCCAGAGAGAGCUAGAGAGAGAGCUAGAGAGAGAGCAAUAGAGAGAGAGCGAUAGAAAGAGCAAUAGAGAGAGAGCGAUAGAGAGUGCGAGGCUAGAAUGAGGGGGAGGGGAGAACAAUUGGAGUGGCACAAGGUUGUAUGGUUUUCUUGGAAAUAUAAAAUCUAGGAUGCGUUAUGGAGCGGUACACUAUAACAGCCUUUAAAGGUAAUGUACGCUCCAACAUAUGCAGCACUUACCAUGAAUGUGAUCUCUGCAAAUAUCUGGGAAAAUGCCUUUAAUAGAGGCUUUGUGGUUUGUAUACUGUGCCACCUUCUAUUUAAUGCCUUCGUUUUACUGUGAAUUUGAUGUGUUGACGUCUUGACCUCAGAUCUGGCCUUUUCAUAUAUACGUACAGUAGAUGUCUGUUUGAACAUUCCAACCUUAUCACACAUAAAUUACACUCCUAGCUGGCAAGAUUUUCUGGCGUUUCCAUUCAGACAGUAAUGUGGUUUCCCGUGAUAGAUGUCUGUAGAAUGUGCUUUGCUGUCCUUCCAGCUCUGGUUCUGGUUAGCAUGGAUCAAAGCUGAUAUACGAGAUCAGAACUCUCUUAACAGAUUUCUCUCCACGUUCCUCUCCUCCAUUUUCCACUCUUGUCUGUCUUCAUGGCCUGGCAGUGGCCACAUGUGUUCAUCGCUCUAUAGCCUCAUUGUGACAUCCUCAGGGGGGUACAGAGCUCGUCCAGGGUUUCGUGUCCUGCUAGAGCAGACAGGCCUAAAAUAGACUUUGAUUUCUCACUCUGUUUAAGUGUCACAGGUGGCCUUCCACGUUCUCACCAAAACGCCUUCCUCCUUGUCCUCCACUCCUCCCGCCCCUCCCCUUCUCUCCUCCCCUCCUCUUCCCCUCCUCCUCCAUUCCGCUCCCCUUCUCUCCUCCCCUCCUCUUCCCCUCCUCCUCCAUUCCCCUCCCCUUCUCUCCUCCCAUCCUCCUUCCUCCCUUUUCCUCUUCUCCUCCUCUUCUCUCCUCUGUUUCUCUCCUCCUCUUUUCUCCUCCUCUUCUCUCCUUCUCUUCUCUCCAUGGUAACUCACUUCCUGACAUCAGGUUUGCAAUUUAGUGUCACCAGUUUUAUUGCCUCUGAAAUUCAAUCUUCGGGCAGCAUCUUGGGCUUGUUAGGCCACAUUAUAGCCACUCCCCCUUACAGCCUUACACACACACACAUUGACAAAUAAACAUGCGCACACAACAUGACACAAACACAUCCCCAUCUCCACCCGGUCCCACUCUAAACAACACAAGAGGCCACCCUGCCUUUUUUUGCACACAAGACAGAGGUGUGCCCGGUCCUAAAUCUCAACUCCCAGAACAGACCAAGACAGAGGUGUGCCCGGUCCUAAAUCUCAACUCCCAGAACAGACCAAGACAGAGGUGUGCCCGGUCCUAAAUCUCAACUCCCAGAACAGACCAAGACAGAGGUGUGCCCGGUCCUAAAUCUCAACUCCCAGAACAG